rnacentral:rRNA from 1 species
CGUACACUCCUGCGGGAGGCAGCAGUGGGGAAUAUUGGACAAUGGGCGCAAGCCUGAUCCAGCCAUGCCGCGUGAGUGAUGAAGGCCCUAGGGUUGUAAAGCUCUUUCACCGGUGAAGAUAAUGACGGUAACCGGAGAAGAAGCCCCGGCUAACUUCGUGCCAGCAGCCGCGGUAAUACGAAGGGGGCUAGCGUUGUUCGGAUUUACUGGGCGUAAAGCGCACGUAGGCGGACUAUUAAGUCAGGGGUGAAAUCCCGGGGCUCAACCCCGGAACUGCCUUUGAUACUGGUAGUCUUGAGUUCGAGAGAGGUGAGUGGAAUUCCGAGUGUAGAGGUGAAAUUCGUAGAUAUUCGGAGGAACACCAGUGGCGAAGGCGGCUCACUGGCUCGAUACUGACGCUGAGGUGCGAAAGCGUGGGGAGCAAACAGGAUUAGAAACCCGGGUAGUCCCA